UACGUAGGGUGCGAGCGUUUAAUCGGAAUUACUGGGCGUAAAGCGUGCGUAGGUGGUUUGUUAAGUCUGAUGUGAAAGCCCUGGGCUCAACCUGGGAAUUGCAUUGGAUACUGGCAGGCUAGAGUGCGGUAGAGGGUAGUGGAAUUCCCGGUGUAGCAGUGAAAUGCGUAGAGAUCGGGAGGAACAUCUGUGGCGAAGGCGACUACCUGGACCAGCACUGACACUGAGGCACGAAAGCGUGGGGAGCAAACAGG
rnacentral:rRNA from 1 species